rnacentral:rRNA from 1 species
UACGCAGGUCGCAAGCGUUGUCCGGAUUUACUGGGCGUAAAGAGCGCGCAGGCGGCUGGUCAAGUCCGAUGUGAAAUCUCCCGGCUUAACUGGGAAACUGCAUCGGAAACUGAUCGGCUUGAAGGUGGGAGAGGGUAGUGGAAUUCCCGGUGUAGUGGUGAAAUGCGUAGAUAUCGGGAGGAACACCAGUGGCGAAGGCGACUACCUGGCCCAUUCUUGACGCUGAGGCGCGAAAGCUAGGGGAGCGAACGGG